rnacentral:tRNA from 1 species
GCCUCGGUGGCUUAGGGGUAUAGCGCGUCCUGCUUAGGGGUAUAGCGCGUCCUUGGUAAGGACGAGGUCGAGGGUUCAAAUCCCUCCCGGGGCU